AUCUAUGACCAUGCCAUCCUGAACGUGUCUGAUCUCGUCUGAUCUCAGAAGCUAAGCAGGCUAAGGCCUGGUUAGUACUUGGAAGGAAGACCACCUAGGAAUAGCAGGUGCUGUAGGUG
rnacentral:rRNA from 1 species